GAUGAACGCUGGCGGCGUGCUUAACACAUGCAAGUCGAACGAUGAAGCCCAGCUUUCUGGGCGGAGUAGUGGCGAACGGGUGAGUAACACGUGAGUAACCUGCCCUUGACUCUGGGAUAAGCCCGUUAAACUGGGCGGAAUACCUGAUAGGAGCGCCUUUCGCAUGACUGGUUCUGUAGAGAUCGUUGGGUCUUGGAUGGAUUCGGGGGGUAUCAGCGUGUUGGUGAGGUAACGGCUAACCAACGCGAUGCCGGGGCACCGGACAGUGAGGGUGACCGGCCACACUGGGACUGAGGGGAGGCAGCAGCACGUAAGGGAGGGCGCAGUGGGGAAUCUUGCCGAAUGGACGACAGGCGGAUGAAGCGACGCCGCGUGACGGAAAACGGCCUUCGGGUUGUAAACCAAUUUCAGCAGGAAAGAAGCGAAAGUGAAGGUAACUGAAGAAGAAGCCCCGGCUAACUACGUG
rnacentral:rRNA from 1 species